CCUACGGGAGGCAGCAGUGAGGAAUAUUGGUCAAUGGACGAGAGUCUGAACCAGCCAAGUAGCGUGAAGGAUGACUGCCCUAUGGGUUGUAAACUUCUUUUAUAUGGGAAUAAAAUGUUCCACGUGUGGGAUUUUGUAUGUACCAUAUGAAUAAGGAUCGGCUAACUCCGUGCCAGCAGCCGCGGUAAUACGGAGGAUCCGAGCGUUAUCCAGAUUUAUUGGGUUUAAAGGGAGCGUAGGUGGAUUGUUAAGUCAGUUGUGAAAGUUUGCGGCUCAACCGUAAAAUUGCAGUUGAAACUGGCAGUCUUGAGUACAGUAGAGGUGGGCGGAAUUCGUGGUGUAGCGGUGAAAUGAUUAGAUAUCACGAAGAGCUCCGAUUGCGAAGGCAGUUCACUGGACUGCAACUGACACUGAGGCUCGAAAGUGUGGGUAUCAAACAGGAUUAGAUACCCCGGUAGUC
rnacentral:rRNA from 1 species